rnacentral:rRNA from 1 species
UACGUAGGGGGCAAGCGUUGUCCGGAAUUAUUGGGCGUAAAGAGCGCGUAGGCGGUCCGAUAAGUCGGCUGUGAAAGUCAGGGGCUCAACCCUUGAAAGCCGGCCGAUACUGUCGGACUAGAGUCCGGAAGAGGCAAGUGGAAUUCCCGGUGUAGCGGUGAAAUGCGCAGAUAUCGGGAGGAACACCAAUGGCGAAGGCGGCUCACUGGCCCGGUACUGACGCUGAGGUGCGAAAGCGUGGGGAGCAAACAGG